GACGAACGCUGGCGGCGUGCUUAACACAUGCAAGUCGAACGGACAGGCCCUGCUCUUGUGGGGUGCUCGAGUGCCGAACGCGUGAGUGAAACGCGAGUAAAAUGCCCUUGUCUUUGGGAUAAAUUCAGGAAACUGGGGAGAAUACCGGAUAGGAGCUCUUGAUGCAUGGUGGGGGUUGGAAAGUUUCGGCGGUUGGGGAUGGUCUCGCGGGUUAUCAGCUUGUUGGUGGGGUAGUGGCUUACCACGUCUUUGAAGGGUAGCCGGCCUGGGAGGGUGACCGGCGACAUUGGGACUGAGGUAGGGCGCAGACUGCUACGGUACGCAGUGGUGGAGAAUAUUACAGAAUAGGCGCAAGCCAGAUGCAGCAACGCCCCGUGCGUAAUAACGUCCUUCGAGUUAUAAACCACUUUCGCCUUUGACGAAGCGUGAGUGACGGUAAUUGGUAAAGAAGCACCGGCUAACUACGUG
rnacentral:rRNA from 1 species